rnacentral:rRNA from 1 species
GACGAACGCUGGCGGCGUGCUUAACACAUGCAAGUCGAACGAUGAAGCCCUUCGGGGUGGAUUAGUGGCAAACGGGUGAGUAACACGUGGGCAAUCUGCCCUUCACUCUGGGACAAGCCCUGGAAACGGGGUCUAAUACCGGAUAUCACUCUCGCAGGCAUCUGUGAGGGUCGAAAGCUCCGGCGGUGAAGGAUGAGCCCGCGGCCUAUCAGCUUGUUGGUGAGGUAAUGGCUCACCAAGGCGACGACGGGUAGCCGGCCUGAGAGGGCGACCGGCAACACUGGGACUGAGACACGGCCCAGACUCCUACGGGAGGCAGCAGUGGGGAAUAUUGCACAAUGGGCGAAAGCCUGAUGCAGCGACGCCGCGUGAGGGAUGACGGCCUUCGGGUUGUAAACCUCUUUCAGCAGGGAAGAAGCGAAAGUGACGGUACCUGCAGAAGAAGCGCCGGCUAACUACGUGCCAGCAGCCGCCGUAAAAC